UGAAAGGAUAUUUUAGUUUGGUUGUAUCAACUAAAUAAAGAAUAAGAAGUAAUUUAACUAAUUGACAUUGAGAAUAAUAAAUUUGCUUUCAUGUGGAGAAACUAAAUUAGUUUAUGCAUAGGUGUUCACUAUGUCUCUUCUCCUCCUUAUCUAUGUAUAUGUCUGGUUUUUUGCUUUUGGAAGACAUGUGGACUGAAAUAUUCAUAAAUGCAUGGACGAUUUAGCCCCACCGUCCAUUCUUUCUCAAAUUUUAUGUCGUUAAUUCCUUAUGAUUUUCCUUCUUUCCAUCGCGAUCUGUUCGCUUUUGUUUUUGCCGUGGUGUUGUCCUUUCACGAUGUCUUUGUCGUUCUGUUGGUACAUGUUUCCCAUCUUAAUUUUCAUGCUGAUUCCGUUUGAGUUUUCAUUGUAGGUGCAUUCAUUUAUUAUCCUCGCAUUGCCUUCUUCUUUUGACUUGCUCUUUCAUGUCGCUGGUGGUGUUGCAGUUUCAAUAGCUCCAAGGGCAGCUGGAUUAGCAAGGUCUAAGGAACAAAUGUGAAGAUUUUGCCAGUUAAGGAUGUAUCACACUAAGGUUAUUAGCACAAAGUUCUCCGUGAAUUGCACGCAUAUGGGAAUAUAGGGAUCAAGAUGUGGCAAAACUCAUCAGAGUUGGACUGCUGUUGUUGACCUAAGGUUCUUCUACCUCAUGGACUUCACGGUGAGAGAUUCGUGAUCAACAAAGCCUGUGAGAGUAUGAAACAACAACUUCUCAGACUCCCACAGCUUCCAUCUCAUUCAGAAUGUUGAUUACCUAGCUUUAUGCUUCAGGGUCUACUUCCAUAGGACAUGUCGCUGCUUGGUCCAGUAAUACUGUUGCUACCCACAUUUGGUUCAUCAUUUUGUUACCCGCAAACUGGCUGCCAGGUCUUCCAUUAUUCUUAUUGCCAAGAAUCUGUACCUUCCUGGCAUUGUGCCUUUUUCCUACGACAUGGGUGCCCAAGUUGAAUUCAGUUUCUAAGUCAUCUAAGAAGAGUGCAAUUGACAAAAAAGAGGGUUGCAGAGAACUAUUCACAUCUGACAGAGAUCCCAGACUCACAAGGUAUACGUGCAGUACAAAAGUCAGCUAAACAAACCAUGCAUUGUCAUAGGACAAAAUCAAGCUUACUACAUAUUCUUGUUUAAAAAAAGCUUACUACAUAUUAUUAUUAGAGUAAAUGCCAGAAGUCAGCCAAUACCGUCACGUCAAGUUGAACCGUGUGUCUGCAAGAU